AACAUUUAGAUUCCUUACCCAUCUGACCGAAGCACUGGCCUGAGUGGUUGUCAAGGGAGGGAAAAUCCCAUUGAAUCAGACUCAAAUUCUUUGGUGACGCACAGGUGAGUUUUAAGCAAACCAAA
rnacentral:snoRNA from 1 species